rnacentral:rRNA from 1 species
CCUACGGGGGGCAGCAGUGGGGAAUUUUGGACAAUGGGGGCAACCCUGAUCCAGCCAUGCCGCGUGCGGGAAGAAGGCCUUCGGGUUGUAAACCGCUUUUAGCCGGGAAGAAAAGGCGGGGGCUAACACCCUCUGUUUUUGACGGUACCGGCGGAAUAAGCACCGGCUAACUACGUGCCAGCAGCCGCGGUAAUACGUAGUGUGCGAGCGUUAAUCGGGAUUAGUGGGCGUACAAAGUGCGCAGGGGGUUCCCCGGGCUCAACCUGGGAACGGCAUUGGAAACUGGCGGGCUGGAGUGUGGCAGAGGGGGGUGGAAUUCCGCGUGUAGCAGUGAAAUGCGUAGAGAUGCGGAGGAACACCGAUGGCGAAGGCAGCCCCCUGGGCUGACACUGACGCUCAGGCACGAAAGCGUGGGGAGCAAACAGGAUUAGAUACCCUAGUAGUC